UACAGAGGGUGCGAGCGUUGUUCGGAAUUAUUGGGCGUAAAGGGCGCGUAGGCGGCAUGACAAGUCACUUGUGAAAUCUCCGGGCUUAACUCGGAACGGCCAAGUGAUACUGUCGCGCUAGAGUGCGGAAGGGGCAAUCAGAAUUCUUGGUGUAGCGGUGAAAUGCGUAGAUAUCAAGAGGAAUACCUGAGGUGAAGACGGGUUGCUAGGCCGACACUGACGCUGAGUGCGCGAAAGCCAGGGGAGCAAACGGG
rnacentral:rRNA from 1 species